rnacentral:rRNA from 1 species
GACGAACGCUGGCGGCGUGCCUAAUACAUGCAAGUCGAGCGAACAGACGAGGAGCUUACUCCUCUGACGUUAGCGGCGGACGGGUGAGUAACACGUGGAUAACCUACCUAUAAGACUGGGAUAACUUCGGGAAACCGGAGCUAAUACCGGAUAACAUGUUGAACCGCAUGGUUCAACAGUGAAAGACGGUCUUGCUGUCACCUAUAGAUGGAUCCGCGUCGCAUUAGCUAGUUGGUAAGGUAACGGCUUACCAAGGCAACGAUGCGUAGCCGACCUGAGAGGGUGAUCGGCCACACUGGAACUGAGACACGGUCCAGACUCCUACGGGAGGCAGCAGUAGGGAAUCUUCCGCAAUGGGCGAAAGCCUGACGGAGCAACGCCGCGUGAGUGAAGAAGGUCUUCGGAUCGUAAAACUCUGUUAUUAGGGAAGAACAAAUGUGUAAGUAACUAUGCACGUCUUGACGGUACCUAAUCAGAAAGCCACGGCUAACUACGUG